GAUGAACGCUGGCGGCGUGCCUAAUACAUGCAAGUCGAGCGAACAGACGAGGAGCUUGCUCCUCUGACGUUAGCGGCGGACGGGUGAGUAACACGUGGAUAACCUACCUAUAAGACUUGGAUAACUUCGGGAAACCGGAGCUAAUACCGGAUAAUAUAUUGAACCGCAUGGUUCAAUAGUGAAAGACGGUUUUGCUGUCACUUAUAGAUGUAUCCGCGCCGCAUUAGCUAGUUGGUAAGGUAACGGCUUACCAAGGCAACGAUGCGUAGCCGACCUGAGAGGGUGAUCGGCCACACUGGAACUGAGACACGGUCCAGACUCCUACGGGAGGCAGCAGUAGGGAAUCUUCCGCAAUGGGCGAAAGCUUGACGGAGCAACGCCGCGUGAGUGAUGAAGGUCUUCGGAUCGUAAAACUCUGUUAUUAGGGAAGAACAAAUGUGUAAGUAACUAUGCACGUCUUGACGGUACCUAAUCAGAAAGCCACGGCUAACUACGUG
rnacentral:rRNA from 1 species